rnacentral:lncRNA from 1 species
UCGUGGCCUCUCUAAUUCAUAAUAAUUAAAAACCUUCGUUAAUGUUAAUUUUUACUUUAAUUUUUGUUGUCAGUUAUAUUAAUUUAUUUUUCACGGAGCGUCUCCGUCCGAUUUAUCCCGUCUCCCCCCCUCCCCCGGGGGCUGCCUAAAUCCAAUCUGCCGGUCGCUUCUCUCUCUUUCUCUCUCCACCGAAAGCCCGGACUCGCUAAACUCAAAACUCGUCUCGACAAAAAAAAAAAUUU